UACGAAGGGGACUAACGUUGUUCGGAAUUACUGGGCGUAAAGCGUGUGUAGGCGGUCCGCUAAGUCGGGUGUGAAAGCCCUGGGCUCAACCCAGGAAGUGCACUCGAAACUGGCGGGCUAGAGUAUCGGAGAGGUUGGUGGAAUUCUCGGUGUAGAGGUGAAAUUCGUAGAUAUCGAGAGGAACACCGGUGGCGAAGGCGGCCAACUGGACGAAUACUGACGCUGAGACACGAAAGCGUGGGGAGCAAACAGG
rnacentral:rRNA from 1 species